rnacentral:rRNA from 1 species
UCAGUUCGGAUUGUAGGCUGCAACUCGCCUACAUGAAGUCGGAAUCGCUAGUAAUCGCGGAUCAGCAUGCCGCGGUGAAUACGUUCCCUGGCCUUGUACACACCGCCCGUCACACCAUGGGAGCCGGUAAUACCCGAAGUCAGUAGCCUAACCGCAAGGGGGGCGCUGCCGAAGGUAGGAUUGGCGACUGGGGUGAAGUCGUAACAAGGUAGC